UACGGGGGGAGCAAGCGUUGUUCGGAUUUACUGGGCGUAAAGGGUGCGUAGGCGGCGCGGUAAGUCGGGUGUGAAAUCUCGGAGCUUAACUCCGAAACUGCAUUCGAUACUGCCGUGCUUGAGGACUGGAGAGGAGACUGGAAUUUACGGUGUAGCGGUGAAAUGCGUAGAUAUUGGGAGGAACACCAGUGGCGAAGGCGGCUCACUGGACUGGUACUGACGCUGAUGCGCGAAAGCGUGGGGAGCAAACAGG
rnacentral:rRNA from 1 species